rnacentral:rRNA from 1 species
AUGUCGCUUCCAAUCAGCAGGUCGUUGGCCCUUCUAAUAAGAAAGCUCACUCCCGUGCGCAGUGGCAUGGGGCGUCCCAAAUGGGCAGGUGGCCUGGGCGUGCUCGAUAUGAGGUGGAUGAAUGUGGCGUUGCAGGCCAAAUGGCUUUGGCUGAAGCGAACAGACCAGACGAGGCCUUCGUGGUCGGAAUUCAGAUUCUCUGUACCGACAUCCCUCGAUAGCCCCACAUCUACAUGUGUAUCGUCGCAGCUCCCGGGCUAG